GACGAACGCUGGCGGCGUGCCUAAUACGUGCAAGUCGAGCGGACGAAUCGAAAGCUUGCUUUUGAUUCGUUAGCGGCGGACGGGUGAGUAACACGUGGGCAACCUGCCCUGUAGACGGGGAUAACACCGAGAAAUCGGUGCUAAUACCGGAUAACACGAAAUGUCGCAUGACGUUUCGUUGAAAGACGGCGCAAGCUGCCGCUACAGGAUGGGCCCGCGGCGCAUUAGCUAGUUGGUGAGGUAACGGCUCACCAAGGCGACGAUACGUAGCCGACCUGAGAGGGUGAUCGGCCACACUGGGACUGAGACACGGCCCAGACUCCUACGGGAGGCAGCAGUAGGGAAUCUUCCGCAAUGGACGAAAGUCUGACGGAGCAACGCCGCGUGAGCGAAGAAGGCCUUCGGGUCGUAAAGCUCUGUUGUUAGGGAAGAACAAGUAACGCAGUAACUGGCGUUACCGUGACGGUACCUAACGAGAAAGCCACGGCUAACUACGUG
rnacentral:rRNA from 1 species